GAACUUAUUAAACACAGAUUUAUUAAGAAUGCUAGGAAAAGUCCGAAACUUCUUGAGAGGAUAAGAAAAUCCAGAAUAAGCACGAUUGUUGUUCUGUCCUUUUUUCCACUUUAAAGAGAGCGGCCAAAGUACCAAGUAAAAGAGGAUGAAGAGACACCUAGGAAUGGUCCCAAAACUCCAGUUCUAUCAUCUGGUACUGUUAGGGUGGCUACAGAUGAAAGAAGCCAAGGCACUCCUGGAUCUAGGGGAAUACUGUCAAAAAUGCUGGAUGGGACUUUAGCGUUGGGGGGUCACAGAGUAUUGGAACUGUUCGUGCUUUAAAACCUCCUCAAGCGAGA